rnacentral:rRNA from 1 species
GACGAACGCUGGCGGCGUGCUUAACACAUGCAAGUCGAACGGGAUUUAGUAGACAGAAGCCUCGGCUAAAGAUUACUAAUGAGAGUGGCGAACGGGUGAGUAACGCGUGAGCAACCUGCCUAUGACAGUGGGAUAGCCUCGGGAAACCGGGAUUAAUACCGCAUAAAAUCGUAGAAACACAUGUUUCAACGGUCAAUGAUUUAUCGGUCAUAGAUGGGCUCGCGUCUGAUUAGCUAGUUGGUGAGAUAACAGCCCACCAAGGCGACGAUCAGUAGCCGGUCUGAGAGGAUGAACGGCCACAUUGGAACUGAGACACGGUCCAAACUCCUACGGGAGGCAGCAGUGGGGAAUAUUGCACAAUGGGGGAAACCCUGAUGCAGCGACGCCGCGUGAACGAAGAAGGUAUUCGUAUCGUAAAGUUCUGUCCUAUGGGAAGAUAAUGACAGUACCAUAGAAGAAAGCUCCGGCUAAAUACGUG